GACUGAGCGGCGGACGGGUGAGUAACGCGUGGGUAACCUGCCUCAUACAGGGGGAUAACAGUUAGAAAUGACUGCUAAUACCGCAUAAGCGCACAGUGCUGCAUGGCACAGUGUGAAAAACUCCGGUGGUAUAAGAUGGACCCGCGUUGGAUUAGCUAGUUGGUGGGGUAACGGCCCACCAAGGCGACGAUCCAUAGCCGGCCUGAGAGGGUGAACGGCCACAUUGGGACUGAGACACGGCCCAGACUCC
rnacentral:rRNA from 1 species